GGACAGAACUGUCAUUGCAUGCACACAGCAAAACAGGCUUGGAUUCCGAGUCAUGCAUUCCUUGAAGAUUCAACAACCCCUAAAAAGAGCAACCAACAGUUCAAUAACAUCCCAAGAUCCUAGGAAGUAAACCGAGGGGGAAAGAAAGAACAAG